GCCGGGCAUGGUGGUGCGUGCCUGUAAUCCCAGCUACUCGGGAGGCUGAGGCAGGAGAAUUGCUUGAACCUGGGAGGUGGAGGUUGCAGUGAGCUGAGAUCAUGCCUCUGCACUCUAGCCUGGGGGACAGAGCGAGACCCUGUCUCAA
rnacentral:SRP_RNA from 1 species